rnacentral:lncRNA from 1 species
UAAGGAUGUACUUAGGUGAAAUUUUAAAAAUAAAUCAAGAAUAUUAAAUUGAUACUAUAAGCCGGUAAAGCAUUUGUUAAGGAUCAAAAUAAGCUAAAAAUAUUGAUAGGUCAUGGAUCUCCUUUUUGAGAUAUUUGAGAUUUAAAAUAUGGGGGGAAAAGGCUGACUCAGACUUUUACCUUACAUUUGCAUUGGUAAUAUUUGGUUCUCAAAUCAAAAGAAAAAAAAUCAAGAAUCUUCUAAAAUUUUGGUAAAUGACCUUUUAUGAGCUAUUUAAAAGUCUUAUAUAAAAAAAUAAAUGGGUGUUAU